rnacentral:rRNA from 1 species
UACGGGGGGGGCAAGCGUUGUUCGGAAUUACUGGGCGUAAAGGGCGCGUAGGCGGCCUGUUAAGUCGAACGUGAAAUCCCCGGGCUCAACCCGGGAACUGCGUCCGAUACUGGCAGGCUUGAAUCCGGGAGAGGGAUGCGGAAUUCCAGGUGUAGCGGUGAAAUGCGUAGAUAUCUGGAGGAACACCGGUGGCGAAGGCGGCAACCUGGACCGACACUGACGCUGAGGAGCGAAAGCGAGGGGAGCAAACGGG